rnacentral:rRNA from 1 species
ACGAACGCUGGCGGCGUGCCUAAUACAUGCAAGUCGAACGGUCUUUCUAUGGAAGCUUGCUCCACUGAGAAGAUAGUGGCGGACGGGUGAGUAACACGUGGGUAACCUGCCCAUAAGAGGGGGAUAACAUCCGGAAACGGGUGCUAAUACCGCAUAGUUUUCUUGAUCGCAUGAUUGAGAAAGGAAAGACGGCCUUUGUGCUGUCGCUUAUGGAUGGACCCGCGGCGUAUUAGUUAGUUGGUGAGGUAAUGGCUCACCAAGACGAUGAUACGUAGCCGACCUGAGAGGGUGAUCGGCCACAUUGGGACUGAGACACGGCCCAAACUCCUACGGGAGGCAGCAGUAGGGAAUCUUCCGCAAUGGACGAAAGUCUGACGGAGCAACGCCGCGUGAGUGAAGAAAGGUUUUCGGAUCGUAAAACUCUGUUGUCAGAGAAGAACAAGUUGGAGAGUAACUGCUCCAGCCUUGACGGUAUCUGACCAGAAAGCCACGGCUAACUACGUGCCAGCCGCCGC